rnacentral:antisense_RNA from 1 species
GCACCGUUAUGGGCUGCUGUAAGAAGAAAGACAGGGAGGUUCAGGGUGAAGCUAAUGAAUUAUACAUGGCAAUGUAUUAAGCAUACAGCUUUAUCCGCCGGUCAGCCUGCUUGGCUGCCCGCAGGGAAGCGUUCACCAGGGGUCCCCGUCCUGCUCCCAGCACCAUCAGUACCCUAAGAAAGAAAGGGAAGAGUCAAGCAGACUUGGCAUAUACAGAUGUAGGAGGUAAGAGAAGCAACACCCAUCCCAGGAUUCUCAUGGACUCACCCACUGCAAUCCUCUUACUAUAGUCACACAAAGUCCGGAAGUUGUGCCACCUGUUCAGUCAAAUACAGAAAAGUACAGUCAACUAGAUAUGGCCGACCAAUCACCACAGCUCAAGGAGACCUCCCUACAGGUUGCACCCUGUACUUCCCCUCACUCUAUCCCUUGCACCCUGGUACAGCAGCAAAGGGAGACAUACCACAUCCACGUUUUCUCCUCUCCACUGUACUCCUGUGUGUGUGUAGUUGGUGCAUUCUCAAUUAUAUCAUCUCUCAGGUCCUCUGGUGCCACCAAGGGUACCCGCAUCCAGAACUGCACAUGAACAGUCACCCUUUUAGAACUCUCUUCUGAACUCAUUGGGUCCAGAAAGUUUCCCUCAAUAAAAAAAAACUUCAUCCA